CACGGGGGGAGCAAGCGUUGUUCGGAAUCACUGGGCGUAAAGCGCGCGUAGGCGGCCUUGUAAGUCCGUUGUGAAAGUCAAAGGCUCAACCUUUGAAAGCCGAUGGAUACUGCAAGGCUAGAGUCCGGAAGAGGCGAGUGGAAUUCCUGGUGUAGCGGUGGAAUGCGCAGAUAUCAGGAGGAACACCAAUAGCGAAGGCAGCUCGCUGGGACGGUACUGACGCUAAGGCGCGAAAGCGUGGGGAGCGAACAGG
rnacentral:rRNA from 1 species